rnacentral:rRNA from 1 species
AAAGGAAUAGACGGGGGCCCGCACAAGCAGCGGAGCAUGUGGUUUAAUUCGAAGCAACGCGAAGAACCUUACCUAGACUUGACAUCUCCUGCAUUACUCUUAAUCGAGGAAGUCCCUUCGGGGACAGGAUGACAGGUGGUGCAUGGUUGUCGUCAGCUCGUGUCGUGAGAUGUUGGGUUAAGUCCCGCAACGAGCGCAACCCUUAUUGUUAGUUGCCAUCAUUAAGUUGGGCACUCUAGCGAGACUGCCCGGGUUAACCGGGAGGAAGGUGGGGAUGACGUCAAAUCAUCAUGCCCCUUAUGUCUAGGGCUACACACGUGCUACAAUGGUCGGUACAAUAAGACGCAAGCCCGCGAGGGGGAGCAAAACUGGAAAACCGAUCUCAGUUCGGAUUGUAGGCUGAAACUCGCCUACAUGAAGCUGGAGUUGCUAGUAAUCGCGAAUCAGCAUGUCGCGGUGAAUACGUUCCCGGGCCUUGUACACACCGCCCGU